AUGGUUCAACUGUUGGACUCGGUUUUGAAAAACCAGAGCGAGAAAAAGCCCAUUGAAAUGGCGACUGUUAUUCCACUCGUAGCGGAUGCAGUAACAUUGUUGGGCCACGCAUCUUAUUUGACUUCCCUUAAAAGGCGAGAAUUCUUAAAACCUGACAUUGCUCAGGCGUACCAGUCGGUAUGCAGCAAAAGUAACCCCAUGUCAACAUAUUUGUUUGGCGAUGAGCUGCCAAAGCAUAUUAAAGAGAUAAGUGAGGUCAACAAGAUUGCAAAGAAAACCAUGUCUCGCACUCAUGGGCAUGCUUCAUCAAGACGCAGUGGUUAUCAUAAUGACUAUAAGAGCAAUAGCGCUCAUGGGCGAUACAGUCAACGUGGUGGACGCAGGCAUUUUUUAGGAUAUGGAAACAAGGCAGCCUACGCAGAAAGAAGGCAGCCAACGCAUCAGUCCACCACGAACACCAAAGUGUACAGGGACACAACAAAAGACAAAGCUUAAGUGAGUUUAAUCCCCCAAGUAUUGAGGAAGAUCCAAGAGGACAAGGCACUUGUAUUGUUAAUUGCUCAGUAUGGACAACCCAGAGCUGGUUCCCUCUUCUCCUUCAACUUUUAAUAGACAGGCCAAUGUUACUGCCCAAGACAGAUUACCUACUUGUACUUCCACAGAGCGAUGCACUCCACCCAUUGAAAGACAAUCUGAUCCUAGCCGCAUGGAUGUUAUGCGGAAACACCUUACUGACAGAGGAUUUUCUGCAGGCGCAACCAACCUCAUUAUCUCAUCUUGGUCCUCUGGGACUGAUAAGCAAUACAAUUCAGCUUGGAAAAGAUGGUGUAGCUGGUGUAAGCAAAGGGAAGUUGAUAUCAUUCAGGCGCCUAUAGAACAGGUUGGCAACUUCUUGUCUGAUUGCUAUGAUGAAGGCAAAGGCUACAGCACGUUGAACUCUUACAGAUCAGCACUAUCAUCCACACUUAGCCCUGUCAACAACUGUGCCGUAGGUUCGCACCCACUAAUUACAAGGCUUUUAAAAGGGAUCUACUCUCUGCGUACUCCAGUCCCUCGCUAUGCAACAACCUGGAUGUUACCAUGGUGACGAAUUAUUUGAAAACCUUCUUCCCAUUGGAUCAGCUCACACUUAAGCAGCUGACAUUGAAAACUGUAAUGCUUUGUGCAUUAUCAUCCAGCCAAAGGGAGCAAACUUUGUGCGCCCUCGAUUUGAAUUAUAAAGUUGAAAGUCCAGCUUGUAUCAGUUUUGUUAUACCCGAGAAGCUCAAAACGUCCAAACCGGGUAAAAGUGUUAAAGUUAAAUUUGAGUGUUUAAGAGACAAACCUGAGUUAUGUACUAAAUGUACUUUAGCAGAAUAUAUUUCACGCACACAGGAUGUCAGAAAUCUAUGUGGUACUAUAGCAUCCAAGUUAUUUGUGUCGUACAUUAAGCCACACAAACCAGUUUCAACAGAUACUCUGGCUCGGUGGUUGAAAUUAGUUAUGACUGAUGCUGGCAUAGAUACAUCAGUAUUUAAGGCACAUAGUAUUAGAAGUGCUACAACUAGUAAUGCCUAUGCCAAAGGAAUUCCAAUUUCAGAAAUUUUGCAUAAUGCUGAUUGGACUAAUGAACAUACCUUUCGUAAAUAUUAUUUGAGGGAAUGUAAUCCUUAAGAUUAGUUGAUAACAACAAUCAUAUGUUGCUGAUUAAAAUGUUAUGCUACAUGA
rnacentral:lncRNA from 1 species